UUUUUUUUAAUUGCAUCUUGUAUUUUAUUACAACAGCAGAUUUAUUCUCUGUCCCAGCCAAUCAGGAUUCAAAGAAAUGCACGAGGAUGUCAGCCUUAUACUUUCUACCUUCGAUCCUCUUCUAAAUCAAAUGAAUUGCAAGAAAUUAACACCACACCUCAAUUACCACCAGUACUACUAUUACUACUACUACGACGACGACGACCAAAUGGACAACUACUACUACUACUACGACCAUGACCAUGACCAAAUAGAAGAUGAGGUUUUGUUCUGAAAGAAGAAUUGCAUGGAAUUGUAAUGAAAGUUGUGUCAGACAAUCAUCGAGAAACAUCCGAAGUUAUAAAAGAAUUAACAUUUUUCUUUUAAUGAAAGACUUAAAUUUCUUAAAAGGAACACUUAUUAAAAAAAAAAUGCAAUCUGAUGUUUAUCUAAACAUUUCAAAUAAAAACAGGAAAAUCCUUAAAA
rnacentral:lncRNA from 1 species